rnacentral:lncRNA from 1 species
AAGCCCCCCAGAGUCUCUCUGCUGCCGCCGCAAGCGCCGCUGGCCCGGGGACCACAGAUUGGAAGCAGGCAGUCACUGGUCGUGGACAGGAAGACUCUCUCCGGCCAUCUCAGGUGUUCCUGUAUAAAACUGUGCCAACGAGUUUGCUGUCAUGUGCCUGUGGUCGCCUCAACAAAGUAGAACUUCCUUACUGGCUCUGGAGGCCAGUCUACAGCCUGUAUAUCUGGACCUUUGGGGUGAACAUGACUGAGGCUGCAGUGGAGGACCUGCACCACUACCGCAACCUCAGCGAGUUUUUCCGGCGUAAGCUGAAGCCUCAGGCACAGCCUGUCUGAGAUUUGUACUGUGUGACCAGCCCAUCAGAUGGCAAGAUCCUCACCUUUGGGCAGGUGAAGAACUCUGAGGUGGAGCAGGUAAAGGGCGAAACCUACUCCUUGGAGUCCUUCCUGGGCCCUCGAACCAGUACAGAAGACCUGCCCUUCCCUCCAGCUUCUUCCAGUGACUCCUUCAGAAACCAGCUGGUCCCCCAAGAAGGGAAUGCGCUCUACCACUGUGUCGUCUACCUGGCCCCAGGAGACUACCACUGCUUCCACUCCCCCACUGACUGGACCGUCUCACAUCGGCGCCACUUCCCAGGUCUGCCCAGGGGUGGGCAUUAGAGGCCCUUGGCCUUUUGACUUGAGAGGACUGGGCUUGAGGCUGGUGUCGUCAAGGCCAGGAGAGGACUUCUUGAGGUGGCUGGCUAUAGGCGAGGGUAUCUGGGGUCCUGCUUAGAAUUUGGACCGCUUGACCUGUGAGUCCCUGUGGCUCUUCGGCCAUUCUGAUGUGAACAUGUCAGGGGCUGAGCAGAAAGUAGCAUAUUCUCUUGUCUCUUCAGGUUCCCUGAUGUCAGUGAACCCUGGCAUGGCCCGAUGGAUCAAAGAGCUCUUUUGUCACAAUGAGCAUGUAGUCCUAACUGGAGACUGGAAAAAUGGGUUCUUCUCGUUGACAGCAGUGGGAGCCACCAAUGUGGGCUCUAUCCAUAUCCACUUUAACUGAGUGAGCAAAGCCCACAGGCUAAACCUCUUGGGUCCAACCACUUCAUUUACUGUACAGCCUUACCUUUGGGCUUAUAAAUUUUGUAGUGCAGGAGGGAUGAUCUAGCUCUGACCAGGCUGGACUCUACAGACAUCCAUACCAGCCCAGCCUCCCUCUCCCUGUUGCCCAAUCUGUGGCCAUUCACCUGCCUGAACCAAUCCCACAUCUUAACACACGGCUUCUGCCAGGAUCCCUGAUCAGAAGCAAGGAUGGAGCCUGCAGGAGGGUAGAGUUGGCUUGGGUGAGAAAAUCUGGUACCCACUCUGCCUUUUUAGGUUUUAAUGGCUGCUGCUGGCACUAGCCUUUCAGCAUUUAUGUCUAACCCCUGCCCCUCCUUGUCAAAGUCACAGCUGAUACUGGGAGUGUUGAUUAGUUAGGCCUUUGUCUCUGCCACCUGGGCUGGGCAGAGUUGAGGACAGGCUCAACCUUCUUGUUCCUAGGACUUGCACACAAACAGCCCCAGGUACAGCAAGGUACUACAAUGACCUGAGCUUUGUAACAAGGAGGGCAUUCCCAUGCACAAGGGUGAGCCCCUGGGCGAGUUCAACCUGAGCUCCACAUCAUGCUCAUCUUCGAGGCACCCAAGGACUUCAACUUGAGGCUGAAGGCAGAACAGAAGAUCUGCUUUGCAGGAGCACUGGGCUCCCUCUAGUCCUCUCGGUUGUGGCUGCCAAAGGAUCUUUCCACACAGGAGCAUGAGGGUCUUUAGCGGAGCCCCAGGAUGUCUAGGUGAGGGGCACUGUGGGGCUGACCUUAUAAGACCUGAAUGAUGUGUUCCUGCCUGUCCAUGGGUGCAGAGGAGAGGUUCUGGGUCUCUCAGGACCUAGGCCCCUUUUCUGAGUAUGGGUGGGUGUGAUUUGACCCCAAAGUCACUUUAAGGGGUGUUUUAAAUUUUUGUACAAGCCAGAGCCUCCCACCCCUAACUCCUGGCUGUGUACUACCACACCCUCUAGCUGCGCCCCGACCCGUCACAGGGCUCUCUCACUGUGCACAGGGUGACGUGCCUGCUGGGCAGAGACUGUGGAUCCACUGUCUUCCUAGAGCAGGCCACAUGGCCUUCAUAACUGCUUUCUGCUCCCAAAUUUCACCUAUCUGCAUGCUGGAAAAGUAAAAUCAUUUAUAUAUUGCUGGAUGUGUUGUCCUGGGCUCUGUCAGUGUCUUCUGAAGACAAUGACUAAUGAUGUAUGUAGACCUUUGUAGGCUCUAAGAAGCUGGCUGAAUCCUUUUGCUGGUAGGCAAGACCAAUUAAUUACUGGCUUGUCUGGUAGAGUCUGGAGUGAAAGGGCAGGUUGAGGCCUUGCCCUGCAGAAGUAGGGGACAUGCUGCUAUUGGUCUAGGUCUGUGUUGGAAGCAGAGGGUAUGGAGGUCAGUACCUAGAAAACAGGUAUGCAGGCCAUGGGGAACCCAGUGGUAGGGACAAGACCAGAGUUCAUGUCGAUCUUGGGAAUGCCAUGAAUUUCCCCUGCAGAAGAAAUCACUUAACUUUUCAACCCUAUCAGUAGUACCGUAUUUUGUAUGAAAAGUAGGAGACUUCUGAACAGUAAUUCAUUUCAUUGCAAGACAUUUUGAAAUUAAAAAACAAAACAAAACAAAAA